rnacentral:rRNA from 1 species
UACAGAGGUCCCAAGCGUUGUUCGGAUUCACUGGGCGUAAAGGGUGCGUAGGCGGUCGGGUAAGUCUGAUUGUGAAAUCUCACAGCUUAACUGUGAAACUGCAUUGGAUACUAUCCGGCUCGAGGAAUGGAGGGGAGACUGGAAUACUUGGUGUAGCAGUGAAAUGCGUAGAUAUCAAGUGGAACACCAGUGGCGAAGGCGAGUCUCUGGACAUUUCCUGACGCUGAGGCACGAAAGCCAGGGGAGCAAAGCGGG